rnacentral:rRNA from 1 species
UCAAGUGAAGAAGCGCAUACGGUGGAUGCCUUGGCAGUCAGAGGCGAUGAAAGACGUGGUAGCCUGCGAAAAGCUUCGGGGAGUCGGCAAACAGACUUUGAUCCGGAGAUCUCUGAAUGGGGGAACCCAGCCAUCAUAAGAUGGUUAUCACACACUGAAUACAUAGGUGUGUGAGGCGAACCAGGGGAACUGAAACAUCUAAGUACCCUGAGGAAAAGAAAUCAACCGAGAUUCCCUUAGUAGUGGCGAGCGAACGGGGACUAGCCCUUAAGCUUCUUUGAUUUUAGCGGAACGCUCUGGAAAGUGCGGCCAUAGUGGGUGAUAGCCCUGUACGCGAAAGGAUCUUAGAAGUGAAAUCGAGUAGGACGGAGCACGAGAAACUUUGUCUGAAUAUGGGGGGACCAUCCUCCAAGGCUAAAUACUACUGACUGACCGAUAGUGAACCAGUACCGUGAGGGAAAGGCGAAAAGAACCCCGGAGAGGGGAGUGAAAUAGAACCUGAAACCGUGUGCGUACAAGCAGUGGGAGCAGACUUGUUCUGUGACUGCGUACCUUUUGUAUAAUGGGUCAGCGACUUAUUUUCAGUGGCGAGCUUAACCGAAUAGGGGAGGCGUAGCGAAAGCGAGUCUUAAUAGGGCGUCUAGUCGCUGGGAAUAGACCCGAAACCGGGCGAUCUAUCCAUGGGCAGGUUGAAGGUUAGGUAACACUGACUGGAGGACCGAACCGACUACCUUUGAAAAGUUAGCGGAUGACCUG